ACUGAAAAGGUGCAGAAGGGAUAAUUUGACAAUUACUAUUUAUGUGGAACAAAAAGUAAACGCACACACCUUUAUAGGUACAGAAAACUUCCUAGUAAAUGCCUCUGGAGGGGUUGUAGGAACACAGACUUAUUUCAGUGCUUACUCUGAUGCUACGUAAAUGCUUACUAUGUUCAUAUAUUGUUUUUCAGUAAACACAGAAGCAAAUGAUAGAGAAAGGGAGAAUUGAUGCUUCUACGAGCAAAGCAUGCAUUUGGAGCAAAUACACUCAAUUCCCUGCCUGCACCACCAUAGAAAGUGCGUUUGUUAUGGAAGAGGAGCAUGUGUGCAUGUGAUCUCCCUCCCAGGCAGGUGCCUGAGUCCUGCAGUACUUUCCAUUGUGGGGGAUCAAACAGAAGUAAACUUCAAAGAACAAACAACACUUUAAUGGCCACGCUUUUGCGUGUAUCCUCCUCCGUGUGUGUUUAUUUGCAUGGCACGGACUUCUGAGUGUGUAUCUGCCAAGCCAAACACUACAUGGACUUUGAAUCUCAGUAGAUGUGCCAGUGUUCUCUCAAAAAGCUUUUUGUCCUAAAGGAGAACCCUGGUGCUACUGAGAACCUGCAAGGUGGUAGGUGUGGCUGAGGAAUGGGAGCAUUGUGCGGAAGGAACCAGUGGCCUUGAGGGGCUGGUGCGCGUCUUCCUGACAGAGGUGAGGACUCUCCAGAGCCUAGAAACGGCCUUGCACGGAGCCACAGAGACAGGAGCAAGCACUGCCUACGGAGUGGCUGUCAGGGAAGGGACUAAACCACGCCUUUGGUCCACCAGGACCAUCUUCAUUCCCAGCACCCAGCCUGAUCCAGGGCGCAUGGCAGACGUCCAUAAAAGAUUUCUUGAAUAACUGAUAAAGGAGAAUUCAAUGAUGACAAGCAUUUCAACCAUGGAGGUAACUGUCUAAAUCUGUCUUCAACAAUAACAACUAUUUAAAAAAUUUAUCCAUAAAUGACAAUGUGUC